rnacentral:pre_miRNA from 1 species
AAUGUUUCUUGCUCAAAUGAGUAUUCCAAUCACAGUUACAAUUGACAUCAAUGUGUGUUGUUGACUGAGAUGCUCAUUUGAGCAAGCA